GCCAGAAAUGGUUUGUUUACAGAGUUGGAUCUUGGGCGACGUGUCUCUGUCUGUGUUUCCCGUGGGUCACUGAUCUAAAAUUUAUCGCGUUUUCCCCUUCACUCUUGGAAGAUAUAUUAAAGAAGGAUGCUGGCAGCAACUGCUGUAGCUGCCCCAGCCGUGGCUGCUCCCAUGAUGCCACUGGUGAUUGGUGGGGACUGUCCAGUGUGUAGUAGUGGCACCAUGCUUGACAAGAUGAACCCGUGUGGGCUUGUGUUAGCCAUCCUUUUACCACUUUUUGGCCUUCUGUUUCUCUUUCUCCUCUGGAACUUGGAGUGCAAUGCCUGUGGUUUUAGUAAGAGGAGGUAUUGCUGAGAGUGGUCCAAGGAAAUAUUGCUGAACUUAAUAAAAGUGGCCUAAGGGGAUAUUGCUGAAAAAUCAUAAGAGGAUAUUGCUGACAGCAGCACAAGGGCAUAUUGCUGACAGCACAAGGGGUAUUGCUGAAAAAUCACAAGAGGAUUUUGCUGACAGUAGCACAAGGGGACAACUGCUGGAAGGUAUUGCUGCAAAGUGCCCCUGAAGAUAAACCUUAAUCUCUGAAUCCUGCCAAUGAACUAAAACGAAAACCUUAAAUGUGUAAGUGAGGUUCUUCCAUGGGGUUUCUUUACCAAACUUAGAUUAGUGUGUCAGAGUUUAUUUAUUUUAAAAUUGCUAAAAAGGUCUCCUUUUUUUUAUUCUUCUCAUGAAGAUUUUUUUGUGCAGUUA